rnacentral:piRNA from 1 species
UGAGAGCCUCAGGAAGCUUUUACUCAUGGU